rnacentral:rRNA from 1 species
GACGAACGCUGGCGGCGUGCCUGAUACAUGCAAGUAGAACGCUGAAGGAGGAGCUUGCUUCUCUGGAUGAGUUGCGAACGGGUGAGUAACGCGUAGGUAACCUGCCUGGUAGCGGGGGAUAACUAUUGGAAACGAUAGCUAAUACCGCAUAAUAGUAGAUGUUGCAUGACAUUUGCUUAAAAGGUGCAAUUGCAUCACUACCAGAUGGACCUGCGUUGUAUUAGCUAGUUGGUGGGGUAACGGCUCACCAAGGCAACGAUACAUAGCCGACCUGAGAGGGUGAUCGGCCACACUGGGACUGAGACACGGCCCAGACUCCUACGGGAGGCAGCAGUAGGGAAUCUUCGGCAAUGGACGGAAGUCUGACCGAGCAACGCCGCGUGAGUGAAGAAGGUUUUCGGAUCGUAAAGCUCUGUUGUAAGAGAAGAACGAGUGUGAGAGUGGAAAGUUCACACUGUGACGGUAUCUUACCAGAAAGGGACGGCUAACUACGUGCCAGCAGCCGCGGUAAUACGUGGGUCCCGAGCGUUGUCCGGAUUUAUUGGGCGUAAAGCGAGCGCAGGCGGUUAGAUAAGUCUGAAGUUAAAGGCUGUGGCUUAACCAUAGUACGCUUUGGAAACUGUUUAACUUGAGUGCAAGAGGGGAGAGUGGAAUUCCAUGUGUAGCGGUGAAAUGCGUAGAUAUAUGGAGGAACACCGGUGGCGAAAGCGGCUCUCUGGCUUGUAACUGACGCUGAGGCUCGAAAGCGUGGGGAGCAAACAGG